UACGAAGGGGGCUAGCGUUGCUCGGAAUCACUGGGCGUAAAGCGUGCGCAGGCGGUGAUGUAAGACAGUUGUGAAAUCCCCGGGCUCAACCUGGGAACUGCGUUUGUGACUGCACAGCUUGAGUGCGGCAGAGGGGGAUGGAAUUCCGCGUGUAGCAGUGAAAUGCGUAGAUAUGCGGAGGAACACCGAUGGCGAAGGCAAUCCCCUGGGCCUGCACUGACGCUCAUGCACGAAAGCGUGGGGAGCAAACAGG
rnacentral:rRNA from 1 species